ensembl:lncRNA
UUCGGUUAUUAUGUUGCCCUGAACAAGACAGAACACGUAGGACAGGGAAAAGCCCUCCCCGAGGCCGCCUUCCUGCCCUGUAGGACCGCAGCUGCCGGGAUCCAUUUCCUGCUUGGGAGAGCAGUGCCAAGGACAGGAGUGGGACCGGCUGCCCACCGGCUGGCCCAAAGGCCACCCAGGGUCAGAAGACAGACAGUUGUGAAUAUUCACCCACUGAUGAACACUCGGUUGCUCCCAUCUCUUGCAGUUGUGAACAGUGCUGCUGUGAAUGUGCUAGGCCGCAGGGGUGUAGCCAGCAGGUACCUCACUCUGCGGCAUCUGGGCAGCGUGGACGUUGUCUGGUGACGAGGACCUCGCUCCCCAUGUGACACUGGAAGUGGCCGUCACCAGCCAGGACCGGAGAGACCAUGGACGCAGGAACAUACCACCAUGCUCAAGCCAAGAGCAAAUGGUUCUCUUUUAAAAAUAUCCUGUAACAGAGCUCCCUCGUGGUUCAAUGGUUAAGAGUCCAUGUUGCAAAGCAGAGGACGCCGGUUCAGUCCCUGGUCUGGGAAGAUCCCACACGUGGCAGAGCAGCUAAGCCCGCGAGCCACAACUACUGAAGCCUGUGUGCCCUAAGAGCCGGUGCUCUGCAACAAGAGAAGCCACCGCUGAGAGGCCCGCGCACCACAACUAGAGAAAAGCCCACGCGAAGCAACAAAGACCCACCACAGCCAAUAAAUACAUGUCUUAAACAUCCUUUGAUAUUGUUAUAAUGUCAAUCUUGCAAUAAAUAAAAUUCCU